UACGAAGGGGGCUAGCGUUGUUCGGAAUUACUGGGCGUAAAGCGUGCGUAGUCGGUAUUGAGAGUCGCGGGUGAAAUCCCAGGGCUUAACCCUGGAACUGCCUGCGAGACCUCAGUACUAGAGUGUGAGAGGGGAUAGUGGAAUACCCAGUGUAGCGGUGAAAUGCGUAGAGAUUGGGUGGAACACCCAGGGAGAAAUCAGUGGACUGGCACGGUGCUGACGCUCAGGUGCGAAAGCGUGGGGAGCGAACCGG
rnacentral:rRNA from 1 species